rnacentral:rRNA from 1 species
AUUGAACGCUGGCGGCAGGCCUAACACAUGCAAGUCGAGCGGAUGAAGAGAGCUUGCUCUCUGAUUUAGCGGCGGACGGGUGAGUAAUGCCUAGGAAUCUGCCUGGUAGUGGGGGAUAACGUCCGGAAACGGGCGCUAAUACCGCAUACGUCCUACGGGAGAAAGCAGGGGACCUUCGGGCCUUGCGCUAUCAGAUGAGCCUAGGUCGAAUUAGCUAGUUGGUGAGGUAAUGGCUCACCAAGGCUACGAUCCGUAACUGGUCUGAGAGGAUGAUCAGUCACACUGGAACUGAGACACGGUCCAGACUCCUACGGGAGGCAGCAGUGGGGAAUAUUGGACAAUGGGCGAAAGCCUGAUCCAGCCAUGCCGCGUGUGUGAAGAAGGUCUUCGGAUUGUAAAGCACUUUAAGUUGGGAGGAAGGGCAGUAAGUUAAUACCCUGCUGUUUUGACGUUACCGACAGAAUAAGCACCGGCUAACUCUGUGCCAGCAGCCGCCGUAAAAC